rnacentral:rRNA from 1 species
CAGCAGCCGCGGUAAUACGAAGGGAGCUAGCGUUGUUCGGAAUUACUGGGCGUAAAGCGCGCGUAGGCGGUUACUCAAGUCAGAGGUGAAAGCCCGGGGCUCAACCCCGGAACUGCCUUUGAAACUAGGUGACUAGAAUCUUGGAGAGGUCAGUGGAAUUCCGAGUGUAGAGGUGAAAUUCGUAGAUAUUCGGAAGAACACCAGUGGCGAAGGCGACUGACUGGACAAGUAUUGACGCUGAGGUGCGAAAGCGUGGGGAGCAAACAGGAUUAGAUACCCCCGUAGUCCCUGUCUCUUAUAC